AAGACUAUACUUUCAGGUAUCAUUUUUAUGGUUCAUUUCUAGAAAACUUAUUUUUAUCAUCUAGAGAACCCAAAACCUCUAGGAGGAAUCAGAGCAUCUUCUCUUGGGGUAUGAAGCCAGUUCUAGGUAUUAUUUUUACAACUGCUUUUACCACUGAUGAUUGUUAUUCUCUUCCCAUGGAAGAAUGAGAAUGAGGGGAUAUAUUCUACGUUGU